CCAGAAUGAUCUGCAGCUAGGAACAGGAUGUGACAGAGCAGCAGCUACAGAUUUGGGGGGAGGCACCAGCAUAGCUGCCCAGUCUGUGUAUCUGUGAAGGGGCUGACCUCGGGGAGAGAGAUAUGGACCUGGUGGAGAGAGAUGGAGCUGGGGGAGAAAGAGAUGUACUUGGUGGAGAGAGACAUGGACCUGAUGGAGAGAGAGAUGGAGCUGGGGGAGAAAGAAAUGGAGCUGGAGAAGAGAAAGAUGGAGCUGGAGACAGAGAGAUGGACUUGGUGGAGAGAGACAUGGACCUGGGGGAGAGAGAGAUGGACCUGAUAGAGAGAGAGAUGGACCUGAUGGAGAGAGAGAGAUGGACCUGAUGGAGAGAAAGAUGGAGCUGGGGGAUAGAGUGAUGGAGCUGGGGGAUAGAGUGAUGGAGCUGGUGGAGAGAAAAAUGUAGCGGGGAGAGAGAUGGACCUAGUGGAGAGAGACAUGGACCUGGGGGAGAGAGAGAUGGACCCGGGGGAGA